UUCGUAUAUCGUCAUGGAUAUAGGACGUGUGGCCGUUUUGUUUGGCAAAAGCAAACUAUUCCCCGAGGAGCCCAUUUCCGUCAGGCGUGCGGAUCGAGAAUAGAUCAACGGAGGGAAUUGGAACGGUGCGUCGAGCAGUAUUUCAGAAGUAGCCUCCUCGUCAGUCAAGCUUUGAUCCCCCGAAUGGCAGGGACUCCACUUUUUCCGUAUAACUCGAAACGAUCGUAUCGUAGAUAAGCUAACAUCGACCGGCUGAAUUUGAUCAGUUUGGCAGCAAUCAACGAUAUCGUUAUGACACGAUUACAAUGUCCUACAUAAUUCCAAGUUACAUAAAAGGGGUUUAUGAUUGCGAUAAACAUAUGCGGUAGCGAUAGAUUGUUGUCGAAACGUAUUGUGCGACAGGAUUCGUCAUCGCGCUAAUAAUAAACGUCCGUGGCUUCGCGCCACACCGUGAGAAUGAAACCCGGACUAGGCUACAUUUAGUGCCACAUCACAAUCGGCGUCAACAUUAUCUUACGUAUGCGGAAUGCGGUAACCUUGAUCGACCGACCACAUUUUUGACGGUCUCGUAGAUUAUAUGAGGAGAAAUCCGGAUACGCCUCUGCUUAAUUUCCGCUCGCUGCUGAACGUUUGUUUUUGCGCGUAACAAACACGCACGAUUACAGCACUUAAUUCGCAUUACACAUAUCUGACGUUUCUCUGUAAACUUGCGAUACAGCUGAAAAUAGACGGUGCGAUCGAUAUAAAGAAUAUAAAGAGAAAACAUCCAACAUCUUUUCUCGAAGAAAAGUUAACGCUUAAAUUGGAAAAACAAAAUCUAAUUUUCAAUUUCCAAAAGAAUAAAACAACGGUAAUAAAACAUCUUAACGCGAUCUAAAGAAUUAAACGUGAUAAAAAAAAUAAUUAUUUUAUUUUCUCGUGUAACAACUGUGAGGAAUUUAUACGCAUUUUCGGAUGGAGCACGCUCGAACUUCUCCAAGACCAGAAAAUUACACAUUUAUUCACGUUCGGUUUCGUGUUCGGUACCGGCCCACAAUUACCGUAUGUAAUUCAAUCGUGAGGAUCAGCUUAAUGCAAGUAGGACGAGGACGAGUUUAAGCCGGAAAUCUCGCAAUAAUAUGCAGACGUUUCCGCGGGAUGAUGUACAAAGAAAUUCGUCGGUCUUCAAAGUGACUGCCUCUUUUUUCUCCUCUCGAUGAGAUAAACAGCUGCAGAAAAGGAGCGACGAAUGUGGACUGGCAAGGGCCAACACUUCAACCGCCGGAUCAUUACCGAACUCAUCGGAAAUUGAUUAUGCGGAACACACACGAGCGCCGAGAGAGCGCUGUAUCAGGAAUAACCUUACAAUAAUUAACGAAAGGUGAGGUGAUCUGUUGCAGAUAUUUACUUUAAGAAUGCAGUUUUUUAAUGAAAAUUAUACUGUACGUAUAAAAUACAAUGAUUAUGA